GUGCUUGCUUUGGCAGCACAUAUACUAAAAUUGGAACAAUACAGAGGAGGCUAGAAUGGCCUCUGUGCAAAAAUGACCAUGCAAAUUCAUGAAGUGCUCCACAUUUAA
ensembl:snRNA U6 U6 spliceosomal RNA